rnacentral:misc_RNA from 1 species
CAUAGCGUCUCACCGUUCCCAAACGUAUCUUGGGAAGGAGAGGAUGAUGGCCUCCCAUGUCACACCUGGCGUGGAUGGCUUAAAAUAGGAGCUUUGGGUUACUAGAUGCCGUGGCGAUUGGUGGUACAAACAUCUCGUUGCGGGACAAGUAGCUUUGCUGGCUCGUAGGACCCUCURUCAACCUUU